UACGGAGGGUGCGAGCGUUGUCCGGAAUCAUUGGGCGUAAAGGGCGCGUAGGUGGCCCGGUCAGCGUGCGGUGAAAGCUCGGGGCUCAACCCCGAGUCGGCCGUGCGAACUGCUGGGCUUGAGCACUGUAGAGGCAGGCGGAAUUCCGGGUGUAGCGGUGGAAUGCGUAGAGAUCCGGAAGAACACCGGUGGCGAAGGCGGGUCUCUGGGCCGAUACUGACGCUGAGGAGCGAAAGCGUGGGGAGCGAACAGG
rnacentral:rRNA from 1 species